AUUGGAGUUCGAUUAAGCCAUGCGAGUCGAGAGUCUUAGGGACUCGGCGUACCGCUCAGUAACACGUGGGUAACCUGCCCUAUGCUGGGGAAUAACCUCGGGAAACUGAGAAUAAUACCCCAUAGUCCACCAUGCCUGGAACGGUUGGUGGAUCAAAGCUCCGGCGGCAUAGGAUGGGCCUGCGGCGUAUCAGGUUGUAGGGGGUGUAACGUACCCUCUAGCCAUCAACGCGUACGGGUGUUGGGAGACAUAGCCCGGAGAUGGAUUCUGAGACACGAAUCCAGACCCUACGGGGUGCAGCAGGCGCGAAAACUUGGCAAUGCGAGAAAUCGUGACCAGGGAACUCCAAGUGGCUGGGGUAAGACCCAGUCUUUUCUUGACUCUUAAACGGUCUUGGAAUAAGGGGUGGGUAAGGACGGUGCCAGCCGCCGCGGUAAUACCGGCGCCUCAAGUGGUAGUCGAUUUUAUUGGGCCUAAAACGUCCGUAGCCUGUUUGGUACAUUCGUGGGUAAAUCAACCAGCUUAACUGAUUGAAUUCUGCGAGCACGGCCAGACUUGGGACCGGGAGAGGUGUGGGGUACGCUCAGGGUAGGGGUAAAAUCCUGUCAUCCUGAGCGGACCACCUGUUGCGAAGGCGCCACACUAGAACGGAUCCGACGGUCAGGGACGAAGCCUAGGGGCACGAACCGGAUUAGAUACCCGGGUAGUCCUAGGUGUAAACGCUGU
rnacentral:rRNA from 1 species